rnacentral:tRNA from 1 species
CGUUUAUCAGUAACCGACCUUAGCUCAGUUGGUAGAGCGGAGGACUGUAGUUGGCACAACCAUCAGAUAUCCUUAGGUCGCUGGUUCGAAUCCGGCAGGUCGGAUUACC